UUGGUAUAAAAUAACAUAAAGUUGUAAAAGAAUUACUCGGGCAUGAUCAUAACAUUACUGCGUUGUACGUUUCCCUGUGAAGAGUAAAACACGGUCUGACUGCUUCUCAUAUUCUGCUCGCCUUCCCCUUUACUGUUUUUUCAGUUAUACCCGCGCUAUAACUUAAAUUUUGUUUAAUCUACAAUAACUCACUAAAGAGAAAUUCGAA